rnacentral:rRNA from 1 species
ACUGUUUGGCUUGGGGCCGGAGGACUCGAGGGGUACGUCCGGGGUAGGAGUGAAAUCCCGUAAUCCUGGACGGACCACCGGUGGCGAAAGCGCCUCGAGAGGACGGACCCGACGGUGAGGAACGAAAGCCAGGGUCUCGAACCGGAUUAGAUACCCGGGUAGUCCUGGCCGUAAACGAUGUCUGCUAGGUGUGGCACAGGCUACGAGCCUGUGCUGUGCCGCAGGGAAGCCGUGAAGCAGACCGCCUGGGAAGUACGUCUGCAAGGAUGAAACUUAAAGGAAUUGGCGGGGGAGCACUACAACCGGAGGAGCCUGCGGUUUAAUUGGACUCAACGCCGGACAUCUCACCGGCACCGACAACAGUGACGACGGUCAGGUUGAUGACCUUACCCGAGUUGUUGAGAGGAGGUGCAUGGCCGCCGUCAGCUCGUACCGUGAGGCGUCCUGUUAAGUCAGGCAACGAGCGAGACCCGCAUCCUUAGUUGCCAGCAACACCAUUGGUGGUUGGGUACACUAAGGAGACUGCCGCUGCUAAAGCGGAGGAAGGAACGGGCAACGGUAGGUCAGUAUGCCCCGAAUGUGCCGGGCAACACGCGGGCUACAAUGGCCGAGACAAUGGGAUGCAAUCCCGAGAGGGAGCGCUAAUCCCCUAAACCCGGUCGUAGUUCGGAUUGAGGGCUGCAACUCGCCCUCAUGAAGCUGGAUUCGGUAGUAGUCGCGCGUCAGUAGCACGCGGCGAAUCCGUCCCUGCUCCUUGCACACACCGCCCGUCAAG